rnacentral:sRNA from 1 species
UAAGUCCCUGUCAGGCGCCGGAACGGACGCCGUGUUUACACGAGCGGCCAUUCCGGCAUCUGACAGGACAACAGAUAUGAGCAUGCAGGGCGGCAGCCCGAAAUGCGAAUAGCUGUUAUGGAUUGCGAAAGCAGCAGCGCUGCGAAGCAAUCCAUGGGACUUA